rnacentral:lncRNA from 1 species
ACAGCAAGAUAUGUCGUUAAGAUGUGAACCGAGAACUUCAUCAUGCUAUUAGCACUUGAACCAAGCAACAACAACCAAGCCCAUGCCAGAACUGUUCCAACUGCUCCAGCAACGGCAUACAAAGGCCAAAAGUCCUCAGUCAAACCAGGUUGAUUCUCAAGGAACAUGUUCGUGAACCUAUCGAUUUUGAGCCUAUCCUUUUCCCUAAACCUGUUGGCAUACAAAGGCCAAAAUUCCUCAGUCAAACCAGGCUGAUUCUCAAGGAACAUGUUCGUGAACCUAUCGAUUUUGAGCCUAUCCUUUUCCCUAAACCUGUUAAACCCCAAUACAGCAAGUGCUACACCUACCAAUACUAGAUGCAACAUGAUACCCCCAUCCAGAAGACAUCUC